AUGAAAUCGAAAAUAUUCCGAGAUGGCAAAUAUUCAGAGAUGACUAUGAAAACACCUCUCUGGAUCCUCGAAUUGAAAGAGAGAUUGAGAGGGAUUUCAUCAGUUUCAGCAUUCUCAAAUUCUUUAGCUUUAGCAAGUUGUUCAUUAAGAAAUUCUCCUAGUGGCACAAUUUCAUCAAGCAAAGUACUAGCAUCAUCAAUAACAUCAUUUAUAGCAGAAGUAGCAUCAUCAUUUACUUGCGACAUAUCAGAAUUAAUAGCAGGUGGUGGGUCGCAAGCUUACUCAAAACAGAAGGUGAAUCAAGUGUAG
rnacentral:rRNA from 1 species